GACGAACGCUGGCGGCGUGCCUAAUACAUGCAAGUCGAACGCAGUGGGGACGGGUGAGUAACACGUGGGUAACCUCCCAUCAGAGGGGAUAACACUUGGAAACAGGUGCUAAACCGAUACUGAUGGAUGGACCCGCGGUGCAUUGGCUAGUUGGUGAGGUAACGGCUCACCAAGGCCACGCUGCAUAGACGACCUGAGAGGGUGAUCGGCCACACUGGGACUGAGACACGGCCCAGACGCCUCCGAGGGGCAGCAGUAGGGAAUCUUCGGCAAUGGACGAAAGUCUGACCGGGCAACGCCGAGUGAGUGAAGGAGGGUGUCGGAUCGUAAAACUCGGUUGUGAGAAAAGCGGUAUCUAACCAGAAAGCCACGGCUAACUACGUGCCAGGAGCCGCGGUAAUUC
rnacentral:rRNA from 1 species